GGGCCCGCACAAGCGGAGGAACAUGUGGUUUAAUUCGAUGAUACGCGAGGAACCUUACCCGGGCUUGAAUUGCAGAGGAACAUAGUUGAAAGAUUAUGGCCGCAAGGUCUCUGUGAAGGUGCUGCAUGGUUGUCGUCAGCUCGUGCCGUGAGGUGUCGGCUUAAGUGCCAUAACGAGCGCAACCCUUAUCAUUAGUUACUAACAGGUCAUGCUGAGGACUCUAGUGAGACUGCCGUCGUAAGAUGUGAGGAAGGUGGGGAUGACGUCAAAUCAGCACGGCCCUUACGUCCGGGGCUACACACGUGUUACAAUGGGGGGUACAGAGGGCAGCUACCGGGCGACCGGAUGCCAAUCCCAAAAACCUCUCUCAGUUCGGAUCGAAGUCUGCAACCCGACUUCGUGAAGCUGGAUUCGCUAGUAAUCGCGCAUCAGCCACGGCGCGGUGAAUACGUUCCCGGGCCUU
rnacentral:rRNA from 1 species